UCAGCGAACGACUUACAUUCUGUCUAAAAUCCGCUUAGCAGGACUAAUAAGUAGAGUAAUUAAAGCUCUUUUCUUUAUACGUGUAAACGGUAAGAGUGAGAAACAGUGAAACACUUUUGUUCUUAUGAUUGGAAAUGUUUUUCUUACUUAUAAUUUUACCAUCAGAUGGUUUUGGAUUUUUGGCGAUUCGUGACAUUGUGUGUGACCUGGGUAUAGAUCAAGAUUCAGGAAGUACAGGCCUUCACAGAUAUUCGUGCAACAGGGGACAACAGGAACUGAAGAGAAGUUAGAAGUAUACACGAAAGCCUCGCACAUCAAUACCUGCUGUUUGAUUCCCACCACCCCAUUGCAGUACCAUUUAGGAGUCAUCAGGACACUACACCACAGGGCAGAAAGCUGUUAACCCAGUGGAAAUGCAACCAUUUAGUCCCAGGAUUUGUCAACAUGAACGCUGUCAGCAGAACGCUGGCGCGUACUGCUGCCACUGCUCUCCAUGGUCUGAGUUUGUGUGCUUGUUUGUUUUGACUGUUUGUUUGCUGUUGCCUUUUCUGGUCAUUUUUGACCACAAGGAUUGAGGACUGUUCAGGAGACCGUUUGUGUCUAACUGGGGAAGUCUGGAAUUCAGUGAUCUGUGCUAGCUGGUCAAUCUGACACUUCCAAAUGUGGCCUCCGACGCUCUGUUUUCACAGAGGGAAAUCAGCAACUCAGUUCUAACUAAAGGAUCAACUGGCACUAUUUUAUCCAAAGGCGGAAUAAGCAGCUCGGUGAUUCGCUGCCCCUAAAUGAUUAACCUUACGCUUCAUAACGUGGCUUUUGACGACGUUCCAUCUUCUCAGAUUUACCCUGGAGUUUGCAUUCAACAAUGUGGAUUUGCCGACUUUUCAUGUGGAUUAUAUUCUAUUUUAUUCAUCAUCCAGUGACCUCGAUAUUCCAAUAUACUGCAGAGAAACUUUUUUCAUUGUGACCCCGUGUCACUGAACCGCCAUUGACCCUUCAAUCGCACCAGAUAUUAUUUACUAUCCUCGGCAGAAGUACAUCCAUCGUGGGUAACGACGGAAUUAUAUCUACGAUGACACUGGUCCAAUACGAUCGUUCUGGUCGUCCUCCCCGCGCCCACCAAAGAAAUCAAUAUGGACCGUCGACCACAGUGUGCUAGCCGAUAUCGCCCAGACUACCAGCAUUGAAUCUGCUACGACUGAUCUUACUUUUCUUUUAUUUAAUAUGAAUGACCGUAAGUUUGACUUUCUUUGUCUCACUGAAACAUGGCAACAAUCCCAUGACUUUUCCCAGCUUAAUCAAUUUGUCCCUCCUGGCUUUACAUACACCUGUCAGCCUCGCACAUCUGGCUGUGGUGGAGGGCUUGCGAUUCUUUUAUAACGAGAAGUGGAAAGCUACUCUCAUGAACAUGCCUCUGUAUGAAACAUUUGAGUCAUUUGAGUUUUACAAAUUAAUGGUCCUGUUCCUACUGUUGUAGCCACUGUUUAUCACCCACCCAGGACUUUACUGAGUUCUACAUCACAAAAUGUUAUUAUAUUGGGCGAUUUUAAUAUACACAUGGACGAUGUCAACAAUACUCUCUCACUAGGGAUUUUUAUCAUGCCUGGAAUACAGCAAAUGGGUUUUUUUUUGUUUUUUUUUUUU